CAAACAUCCAGAUUAAUGUUUGACCAACUAUCUGGAUGCUGUGGACUGGCCAAGUUGGUACAUAAAAUUAACUGCUCUGGCCUCACAAGAUUAAAACUUGAUGCUUCAGACCCUCUGAGCCCCUUUGUCUGCGUGGAACGGGUCUCUAGUCGCGGGUGGACAAAGCGUAGGAUGAGUGACAAACAGACGCACACAGGAGAGGUCGAGGAAUCUGAAUGUCAUUUUUCAAAUCGAGCAUCAGACUUUUUAUGCAGAAGACAAUAAGGAAGUUGGAUGACAUACCUGCAAGGUACAAAUGAGUUCUAGGAUGGAUUUACCAGCUCUUCUUCUCUCCUGAAGACUGUUGUCCUGCCUAUGCCCAGACCCAUCUACAUCAGAUCUGAGGAGUGAGUCUUCUAAACUAUGAAGGACAUAUUAUAAUAUUCAAUAAACAAUCUGUGGCCUCCAUAUGCACAGAAUGUGAUGCUGGGCAAACAGAGAGCUCUGAGCAAAAGUUCUAAGAAAGAAAGUCUUCUAAUGGAAGCAUCUGCAAGCCUGAUGAACUAAUUUGAACCUCAGUGACCAUGAAGAGUUUGGAAUGUUACAGGUCCAGGGUCUAUUUACAAUUCAUCUUGGGUUAUCUUUAGCUCUCUAAGUAGCCAUUCUUUCCUUAUAUUUGUGUGAACCUAACAUUCUGUGCCUAACAGAUUAAGAAGUCUUUUGGAAUGUAGUAAAUCUGUGGCUUCCACUAAUUGAAAGACUGAGUGUCAUCAGGUAGUACCUGAGCCCUACAGUCAAUACUUCUCUGCAUGUUUUCACUAAUGUACCUGAAAACUGCUUUGAUCUUUUUAGUUUCUUUGUUCUGUUACUAUAAACUAAUUCCACAUUGGAACAUGGAAUUUGACACUACACCCGUGUUCCCAGGCUAUGGUCGCUCUUAUUUGGCUCUGGAAUAAAUUGAAAUGAGAUGUGUGCUUCUGCCUCAACAUUAAAUUUUCUGGUGAUAACCAUUACCCAAAGUGGUUCACAGAAGGUUUUAUCUUGGCUGGGCAAAUCACAGUGGUGGGGGAGACAUGUCAAGGGAGACUGGAGAAGGAAGCUGAGAGAUCCCAUCUUCAACCACAUGUAGAAAGCAGAGUGUAAGGCCUGGAAGUGGGGCCAGGCUAUAAACCCCCAAAGCCCAUCCACAGUUCUGCAAGGAAAGCUUCCAUCCAUGACCUUGCCAGACAAUGCUGGUCGCUGGGGACUGAUGGUGAAGUCCAUGAGUCAGUGAGGGAACAUUUCUUGUUCAAACCAUCACACCAUAUAAAUUUGAGAGACAG
rnacentral:lncRNA from 1 species